AGUGAACGCUGGCGGUAGGCCUAACACAUGCAAGUCGAACGGCAGCACAGUAAGAGCUUGCUCUUACGGGUGGCGAGUGGCGGACGGGUGAGGAAUACAUCGGAAUCUACUUUUUCGUGGGGGAUAACGUAGGGAAACUUACGCUAAUACCGCAUACGACCUACGGGUGAAAGCAGGGGAUCUUCGGACCUUGCGCGAUUGAAUGAGCCGAUGUCGGAUUAGCUAGUUGGCGGGGUAAAGGCCCACCAAGGCGACGAUCCGUAGCUGGUCUGAGAGGAUGAUCAGCCACACUGGAAAUGAGAAACGGUCCAGACUCCUACGGGAGGCAGCAGUGGGGAAUAUUGGACAAUGGGCGCAAGCCUGAUCCAGCCAUACCGCGUGGGUGAAGAAGGCCUUCGGGUUGUAAAGCCCUUUUGUUGGGAAAGAAAAGCAGCAGGUUAAUACCCCGCUGUUCUGACGGUACCCAAAGAAUAAGCACCGGCUAACUUCGUG
rnacentral:rRNA from 1 species